rnacentral:rRNA from 1 species
UAUUUGAGGUUUGGCCUGCCCGGUGAUAUUUAUUUAACGGCCGCGGUAUAUUGACCGUGCAAAGGUAGCAUAAUCAUUAGUCUCUUAAUAGGGGGCUGGAAUGAAAGGUUUAACGAAAAAUUAACUGUUUCAAUUAUAGUUUUGAAUUUAACUUUUAAGUUAAAAGGCUUAAAUUUUGUUGGAGGACGAGAAGACCCUAUAGAGCUUUACACUUUAUUUUGGAUGAUUUUAUUUAGUUAGAUAAUUUAAUUUUAUUUAAAUGCGUGUUUUGUUGGGGUGACAAGAAAUAUAUAAUUAACUUUUAUUAUUUUUUAUUCAUUAAUUUAUGUUUAUUGGAUCCAAAAUUUUUGAUCAUUAGAUUAAGUUACCUUAGGGAUAACAGCGUAAUCUUCCUUCGGAGUUCAAAUUUACAGGGAGGCUUGCGACCUCGAUGUUGGAUUACGAUAAUAAUUAGGUGCAGUAGCUUAAUUAAUAGGUCUGUUCGACCUUUAAAUCUACAGAUCGUAAAACCCC